rnacentral:rRNA from 1 species
GACGAACGCUGGCGGCGUGCUUAACACAUGCAAGUCGAACGAAGAGCGACGGAAGCUUGCUUCUAUCAAUCUUAGUGGCGAACGGGUGAGUAACGCGUAAUCAACCUGCCCUUCAGAGGGGGACAACAGUUGGAAACGACUGCUAAUACCGCAUACGAUCUAAUCUCGGCAUCGAGGAUAGAUGAAAGGUGGCCUCUACAUGUAAGCUAUCACUGAAGGAGGGGAUUGCGUCUGAUUAGCUAGUUGGAGGGGUAACGGCCCACCAAGGCGAUGAUCAGUAGCCGGUCUGAGAGGAUGAACGGCCACAUUGGGACUGAGACACGGCCCAGACUCCUACGGGAGGCAGCAGUGGGGAAUCUUCCGCAAUGGACGAAAGUCUGACGGAGCAACGCCGCGUGAGUGAUGACGGCCUUCGGGUUGUAAAGCUCUGUUAAUCGGGACGAAAGACCUUCUUGCGAAUAGUGAGAAGGAUUGACGGUACCGGAAUA